AAAUAAAAAAUAAAAAUAAAAAUAAAAAACCUCGUCCAUUCAAGUGGCAUCGAUUAAAAGCCUUCAUUGGUCAGUGCACUCAUUCCACUAGACUUCUCUCAUUAUCUAAAAAGGGAAAACCAAACAUCAAUGGAGUCCCCAAGCUGGAGGUGUUUUCUGAACCUUCAAGACCGUCCGAGCUUCUUCAUCGUCUUCCUCGUCACCCUUGUCUUCCUCGUCUUUGUCUUGUACCUCACGAGGCCCAAACUAUGGUGCAACUGCGAGGUAUGCCAAACCUACCUUUCCCUCGGCUGGUCGAAGAAGUAUGCCAAUCUUUGCGAUUGGUACGCUCAUCUCCUCCGGAGCUCACCGACCAAGACGGUCCACAUACACGUCCUUGGCAACACAAUCACGGCCAACCCGGAUAACGUCGAGUACAUGCUCAAGAAGAGGUUCGAGAACUACCCGAAGGGGAAGCCCUUCUCGACCAUCUUGGGAGAUUUCCUUGGCCGAGGGAUUUUCAAUGUCGACGGCGACCUGUGGAAGUUUCAGAAGAAGAUGGCGAACCUAGAGCUUGAUAAGUUCGCGGUACGAUCCUACGCGUUCGAGAUUGUCAAGUGUGAGAUCGAGAACCGGCUCGUGACUCUCUUGUCCUCCGUUGAGGGCGAGAAGGGCGGAGUCCUCGACUUGCAAGAUGUGUUCAAAAGAUUUUCAUUCGACUGCAUAUGUAGGUUCUCGUUCGGCCUGGACCCGAGAUGCCUAGAGCUGUCCUUGCCCAUGUCGGAAUUCGCUCUUUCCUUCGACUUGGCAUCUAAAUUGUCCGCUGAACGAGCCAUGGAGGCAUCACCUUUAGUGUGGAAGAUCAAAAGGGCGUUCAAUUUGGGGAGUGAGAAGAGACUAAAGGAAGCAAUUAACAUGAUCAACAUUCUCGCUCUCGAAGUCAUAAGGCAAAAGCGCAAGGUUGGAUUCUCUAACCACAGAGAUCUCCUAUCCCGCUUCAUGCGCAAAGUGAGCGACGAGACAUACCUGAGGGACAUCAUCGUGAGCUUUCUUCUAGCUGGCCGCGACACAGUCGCGUCGGCCCUGACCAGCUUCUUUUGGCUGAUGGCCAAGAACCCUCGAGUGAGAUCGAAAAUCCAUGCCGAGCUGGAUCGUGUGAUGGGCGAUCAAGAGCUGGUGAGCUACGAUCAAAUCCGGGAACUCCCUUACUUGCAAGCUGCGAUUUAUGAGAGCAUGAGGCUCUAUCCUCCCAUACAGUUCGAUUCAAAAUUUUGCGAGAAAGAUGAUAUCUUGCCCGACGGGACAUUUGUGAAGAGAGGCACGAGGGUUACUUACCACCCGUACGCGAUGGGUCGGAUCGAGGAUAUAUGGGGUCUGGAUUGCUCGGAGUACAAGCCGGAGAGGUGGCUGAACAACGGCAUCUUCUUCGCAGAGAACCCGUACAAGUAUCCGGUCUUCCAAGCCGGGCUUAGGGUUUGUCUGGGGAAAGAAAUGGCUCUCUUGGAGCUGAAAAGCGUGGCGGUCUCGUUGCUGCGGAGAUUCCAGAUAGAGCUGGUGACCCCAGACCAAGUGAUCCAAUUCUCUCCGGGGCUCACUGCCACCAUCGGCGGGGGUCUUCCGGUCGUUAUACGAGGAAUCUGAAGCCCCACAAGCAGACAUCGCAGGUUCGUCCCGUUUGGGUUGCUAACUUCCUCUUCCCAUAAGCCGAGGGGGGGCAAUAGAUUACUAUGUUUGUGCAAAUACCAUGUGAUAUUUCCUCUUUUGUUGCAUCUACAUGGCACGCGUUUGUAGCCUAUGGUGCGAAUUUGAUAAAUACGCUUGUGGGUGUUCCUAUUUUUUUCCCCCCUUCCGACGUACCUAUUAGAAUUUGAUGGGUGUCAUCCAAGAAAAGAAAGGCGGAAGUGGUGGUCCGAAAUUGGAUCUAAAUGGUCUUCAAGGACCCCUCCCUCUCUCAAACCCAGAUGAACAGAAACGUCUGGCCAGUGUUGGUGGUGCCUUGUGCGUUCUUUCUUGUGGGAAAUGAUGGGUAAUUGACGUUCUUUAUUAUUGUCGCUUUCCUUGUUUUUAUUUUUGAAGAUUCUCGUUAUGUGAAGCUCUCGUUCUUUGUUGUUGUUGGGGGAGAAGAAAAUGUAUCCACGUGGGAAUCAAGCGAGUGAAUCAAACAUGUAAUCAUGCUUAUUUCCAUGAUGGAAACGAUUUAUUUUUGCUAUAUACUUU